AGUGAACGCUGGCGGUAGGCCUAACACAUGCAAGUCGAACGGCAGCACAGUAAGAGUUUGCUCUUACGGGUGGCGAGUGGCGGACGGGUGAGGAAUACAUCGGAAUCUACUUUUUCGUGGGGGAUAACGUAGGGAAACUUACGCUAAUACCGCAUACGACCUACGGGUGAAAGCAGGGGAUCUUCGGACCUUGCGCGAUUGAAUGAGCUGAUGUCGGAUUAGCUAGUUGGCGGGGUAAAGGCCCACCAAGGCGACGAUCCGUAGCUGGUCUGAGAGGAUGAUCGGCCACACUGGAACUGAGACACGGUCCAGACUCCUACGGGAGGCAGCAGUGGGGAAUAUUGGACAAUGGGCGCAAGCCUGAUCCAGCCAUACCGCGUGGGUGAAGAAGGCCUUCGGGUUGUAAAACCCUGUUGUUGGGAAAGAAAAGCAGCAGGUGAAUACCCCGCUGUUCUGACGGUACCCAAAGAGUAAGCACCGGCUAACUUCGUG
rnacentral:rRNA from 1 species